GACUGUUCAAAAUGUAAACGCCUCGAACAGCGUGUCAGAGAACUGGAGGAAGAUCGGCAGCGGUUGAGCCUACAGCUGGAUACAUUUAAUGAUCUGAGAAAUAUGCUGGCUGAGGUCUUGGUCAGCCAUCACCAGGCCCCAACCAGCCAUCACCAGGCCCCAACCAGCCAUCACCAGCUCCCAACCAGCCAUCACCAGCCAACCAGUCAACCAAGAACAGGCAAAUGAUGAUGUUGUCAUUGGAGGAACCCUCAGGGUCAAAAAAAUUAAAUUGCAAAGAUGCAACCAACAACUCCCGACCAAGCUGGUGUGCGACCUGCUAUGAGUUGUAUUUUCAAAAAGAGAGAUGGCCACCUCGUCCCUGACUGGACAAAAGGGCAGUGCCAAAGACGAAAUAAAACCACCACUGGAGGCCACCGCGGUCAAAGCUAUUUUUGAAUACACUCUGCAGAAAUUUCCCAAUGUGGAACUAUCCAUCCUGAGGGGAGCCGUCAGGAAUAAGUUAAACAAUGUCAGCAAGCUGUUCAAGAAAACACAGGCUGAAGCUGGAUCCGAUGGACCCUGAUCCCUCAGACAUUGAUUUAUUAGUG